UACGUAGGGGGCAAGCGUUGUCCGGAAUCAUUGGGCGUAAAGAGCGUGUAGGCGGCUCGGUAAGUCCGCUGUGAAAGUCCAGGGCUCAACCCUGGAAUGCCGGUGGAAACUGUCGAGCUAGAAUCCGGAAGAGGCGAGUGGAAUUCCUGGUGUAGCGGUGAAAUUCGUAGAUAUUCGGAAGAACACCAGUGGCGAAGGCGACUCACUGGACACGUAUUGACGCUGAGGUGCGAAAGCGUGGGGAGCAAACAGG
rnacentral:rRNA from 1 species